GUCACUAAAAGAAAUAACAAAAUAAUCAUAAAACAAACGAAACAAAUAGGCUCUCAAAUCAGUGCCAUCAUACUUCAAAAACUCUUUUCUUUCUCUCAUCCUCUCUCUCUUCUUCUUCGUCUUCGAGGGCAAGUUGUUCAAAUU
rnacentral:ribozyme from 13 species